rnacentral:lncRNA from 1 species
CUAGCCCUGCCUGGCAGGGGUAACUCACAUCUUCUGGUGUUGGGGCCCCAGCCUCCCAGAUCCAAUGAGGAACUGAGAAGCUGUAUUUGGGGACACGGUGGGACACUGUUUCCUGAAAGGGGGGGGUCAGGUAGAAGGGUUGGAAACUGAGGCCAAGGAAGUAGGAGCUUGCUGGCUUCCUGUCUUAGGACACACAAGAUAAGUCUCCAACCUAUUUGCAGAGCAAUUCCACUGAACUCACCUCCUUUAAGGCUUGCAUGAGCCAAUGGAGG